CAUUAUUGAAUAGUUAAAAGUUGGGUUGAUGCUGGKUCUUUUCAGGAUAAUGUGCACGCCCAACUUGAAACUCUUUCUACCCACCUGUGCACCUUCUGUAGACCUGGAUAUCUCUCGAGGCAACUCGGUCUGAGGACUGCUGAUCAAAUAGUUGGUCAGCUUUUCCUUACAUUUCCGGUCUAUGCUGUUAUAUAUAUCCUACAUAGCAUGUCCAAGAAUGUUCAUUUUAAACAGACUUUAUUGUCUUUUAAAUCCUUUAUACAACUUUCAACAACGGAUCUCUUGGCUCUCGCAUCGAUGAAGAACGCAGCGAAAUGCGAUAAGUAAUGUGAAUUGCAGAAUUCAGUGAAUCAUCGAAUCUUUGAACGCACCUUGCGCUCCUUGGUAUUCCGAGGAGCAUGCCUGUUUGAGUGUCAUGAAAUUCUCAACCUUUUCAGCUGUGUUGCUGAACUAGGCUUGGAUAAUGGGGGUGUCUGCGGGCUUCACAGAAGUCGGCUCUCCUUAAAUUUAUUAGCAGGUGAACCUCUUGGUUGUCUAGCUCUGGUGUGAUAAUUAUCUACGCCCUAGUGAUGCAGCUCUAUAAAAUGGGAGGGGAUCAGCUUUUUCAAAUUUGUUUUGUUGUGACCAUUUUUGACCUCAAAUCAGGUAGGACUACCCGCUGAACUUAAGCAUA
rnacentral:rRNA from 1 species